GUGACAACCACACAGUCCUAGCCCGUGUCAGUGAGCAGCUGUCUGCUGUCUGCUUCAGGGUUUCAGGUAUCUCAAAUUACAAGACAAACUGAAAUCCAGAAAAUUCCAAGUAAGCAUGAGAAUUUCUUUUCCUGUGAGUGUGGCAUGGGCUCACAACACCAGCAUACAUUUGGAAGGCACUCAGAAGUUUUGCUGGUCUGCAAAAGAAUCAAUUUUCCUGCCAGUCCUACUCUCAAUCUGAACACACUGUGAGCAUCUUGUGCCUAGUGAACCAUAUAGAGUGUAAAGGCUAAUUCAAACACUGACGUCUCUGCAAUGAGUAGCAUUUUGCUUAAAAAUGUUUGAAUGAGGCUGUAGUAUUUUUUAUUUACGGACAGGCAAUAUUUUAACCCAGUAUUUUUUAAGCGGAAGGCUGAUGUGACUUGUCAUACACCUGAUAUCCAGUGUGUGUUUCUGUAAUUCUAUCAAGACAACUUGUUGGGCUGUUCCCAUUUGCAUUCAUAUAGUGAUGCAAAGAAAUUCACCAGCAGCACUGAGCAAGAUUAUGAGAAUUGUGACUUACACACUACUGAAUGCUUUCUCAACUUGUCGCUAAAAUAAUAAAAU